rnacentral:rRNA from 1 species
UACGUAGGGUCCGAGCGUUAAUCGGAAUUACUGGGCGUAAAGCGUGCGCAGGCGGUUUUGUAAGCCAGAUGUGAAAGCCCCGGGCUUAACCUGGGAAUGGCAUUUGGGACUGCAAGGCUGGAGUACGGCAGAGGGAGGUGGAAUUCCAGGUGUAGCAGCGAAAUGCGUAGAUAUCAGGAGGAACACCUAUGGCGAAGGCAGCUCGCUGGGACGGUACUGACGCUGAGACGCGAAAGCGUGGGGAGCGAACAGG